rnacentral:rRNA from 1 species
CACGGCGGUUGCGAGCGUUGUCCGGAAUUACUAGGCGUAAAGGGCAGGCAGGCGGAUCCAUAAGUUUAUCGUUUAAGGCGUCGGCUUAACCGGCGUAGGGCGGUAGAUACUGUGGAUCUGGAAUGCGGUUGGGGAAGACAGAAUUCCUGGUGUAGCGGUGGAAUGCGCAGAGAUCAGGAGGAAUACCGAAGGCGAAGGCAGUCUUCCAAGCCGUUAUUGACGCUCAACUGCGAAGGUGUGGGUAUCAAACAGGAUUAGAUACCCGGGUAGUCCCUGA